AACAUCUCUCGCGAUAAUUUGUUUGACAUCUUCGUGGAUCAAAGCCUCUGAUACCACCGCGUAGUGGGCCAAGCUAAGCCGCUAUUCCCACUCCUAUCCGGGGACGUUGUGUUCAGAGGGAGCACCCGGUCCACCCCUAACAGGAACAUCUCAGGAUACUUCUGAAUGCCAGUGCCAGGCCUUUUUGACGAAGUGCAACACGAGGGGAACAGUAGGGUUUGUUAAUUAGCCAGCUACCUCGCUAGCUUAGUUAGCAUGAAUAACUAGCUUACAGGCAGUGGUUUGAAAUGUGAUGGCUGUGGGCCAAAUACCUUGUGUAGCUAGCUCUUGUUUCACUCUUUACCAAUGACUUUCAAGGAAUGUGAUUCAAAAUAACAUAGUUAGCUAGCUACGUGUCUUAGGUAAGGUUAAUGCUUAUUUAACAUAGAGUUUGCCUGAUCUUUAGCUAUGUACAGUAAGUAUUUGUGCUAGCCAGUUGAUUACUAUCUAUUGCCUCCGGCGACUGUAAAAUAAUGUUGUUAGCUAGACAAUUCAUCCAACCAUUUUACGUUUGUUAGCUGACUAGCUAACUGUUGUAGACCAGAAUACAGACAGGUUAGAUUGGCUAGUUAACGUUAGCCUAGUUAUCCCUGUGUUUAUUUGAUAGAUGCCCAGGCUAAUUUGACAGCUCGCUAGGCAGCCAGGUGUAUUUUGUGAGGAUUGUUUGAUUGUCCAACUGCAUUCAGUCACUCCUCUGGAUACACCGCAAGUUGGGAUCAAGAGUUGUUUUAGGAGACCUGCUGCAUCUUGCUGGGAAGUAUUCUGCAAAACAAAACAUGGCUCCCAAAAGAAGACCGGGUCCAAUAAUCAUCCCUUCCACCGGUUGUGAGGGGGGACUGUCCACUUCCACGACCAUCGUUGCGGCUUCAGAGGCUAAUCUGGAGGCUUUACAGAAGAAGCUGGAAGAGUUGGAUCUGGAUGAGCAGCAGAAAAAACGUCUAGAGGCUUUCCUUACCCAGAAGGCCAAAGUGGGUGAGCUGAAAGACGACGACUUCUACCGCAUCUGUGAGCUGGGCGCAGGCAAUGGUGGUGUUGUCAACAAAGUUUGCCACAAACCCUCAGGCCUGGUCAUGGCCCGAAAGCUGAUCCAUCUGGAGAUCAAACCAGCCAUCAGGAACCAGAUCAUCAGAGAGCUACAGUUGCUACAUGAGUGUAACUCUCCCUACAUCGUUAGUUUCUAUGGCGCCUUCUACAGCGAUGGAGAAAUCAGCAUCUGCAUGGAACACAUGGACGGGGGCUCCCUGGACCAGGUGCUGAAGGAAGCCCGGAGGAUCCCUGAGGAGAUCCUGGGGAAAGUCAGCAUCGCAGUUUUAAGAGGGUUAGCCUAUCUACGGGAAAAACAUCAGAUCAUGCACAGAGACGUCAAGCCCUCUAACAUCCUGGUGAACUCGCGCGGGGAGAUCAAGCUCUGUGAUUUUGGCGUGAGCGGUCAGCUCAUCGACUCCAUGGCCAACUCCUUCGUUGGAACGCGCUCCUAUAUGUCGCCAGAGAGAUUGCAGGGCACCCACUACUCAGUCCAGUCUGACGUGUGGAGCAUGGGCCUGUCUCUGGUGGAGCUGUCCAUAGGUCGCUACCCCAUCCCCCCUCCGGACGCCAAGGAGCUGGAGGCCAUCUUUGGACGGCCCAUCUUGGACGGGGCCGAGGGAGACGCACAGAGCGGCACGUCCCCCCCGCCCCGGCCUCCCGGAGGCAGACCUGCCAGCGGACACGGUCCUGCCAUGGCCAUCUUUGAGCUGCUGGACUACAUUGUCAACGAGCCUCCUCCCAAACUGCCCCAUGGAGUCUUCACCUCUGAUUUCCAGGACUUUGUGACUAGAUGUCUCAUCAAGAACCCAGCAGAACGGGCUGACCUGAAGAUGCUCAUGAACCACACGUUUAUCAAGCGGUCUGAAGUAGAAGAGGUGGACUUUGCUGGCUGGCUUUGUAAAACCAUGGGGCUGAACCAGCCCAGCACUCCCACACGUACUGUAGACUAAACACACACACACACACACACUCACAGACAUGCAACCUCUAUGCACACACAACAUCUCACACACAAAAACAAGCACGCUUUCUUUGUCAGCCACCUUUCUCAGGUGACCCUGUUAUGAACUGGCUUCAUUGGCUGUAGAGUAUGGGAGACUGCUUCAAUUUUUGGAGGGUUUUUGUUUGUGCUUUGUAAUUAAUGGCACUGCAGCUGAAGUCCCAGAUCUCAAUAUGUCUCUGAUCAGAAGGAGACUCAUAAAAGCAGAUGUAUCUUAGCCCUACAGAAUCGGAGUUGUCAAACCUUGCUGUAAAAUCUCCAGUCAGUCAUGUCAGUUACUCCCUCCCUUUAACAUGCCAGAAACAAGACAGUUACGACCUUAAUCAGCAUUUCUUGGAACAACCUCUCACUGGGUUAGACUGUUAGAGCUGUUUGGCUGUUAUAGUCUGCAUUAUCAACAGUGUCAUCCCCCUGGAUGAGCUGACAGAAGGUGUGAGAUGUCAUCCCACUGGAUGAGCUGACAGAAGGUGUGAGAUGUCAUCCCACUGGAUGAGCUGACAGAAGGUGUGAGAUGUCACCCCCCUGGAUGAGCUGACAGAAGGUGUGCGAUGUCACCCCCCUGGAUGAGCUGACAGAAGGUGUGAGAUGGGCCUGGUUGCAGGAAGCUGUACAUAUACACACUCCAGAUAGGGAUUCUGUGAGCUCAGUCUGUAGCGUGGCAUCAUUGGCACCAAAAGUGUGUGUUUUAACAUAUCUAUCUACCAACUGCCCGCUUUUCUUGUUUUCAGUGUUGUAGCACUUGAAGCCUGUUCAGAGGUUAUGCCGAUGUAUGCACCCUGUAUACAAAAAACACACAAGGCAGACAGGAAGUCAGGACACAUGACAUUAUAAACUGGGCAGGAUGUGAAUACACAACGUCCUCACUACAGCAGUUUUUCAUAAUCAUUUUGCUUUUCUUAUUCCAUUUGCUUUUCAAUAAAGUUUCAGUCUAUAUGAGAACAGUAACCAAAACAUCCUGAGCCACAGCUAAAGUGUGUGACGUUGGUCUCUUUGCCAGGCCUUAGGUAUUACAAUCACGAUAAGGAGUUGAUGUAGGUAAAUGUUUGUAGAAAUCAAUACAUAUGAUUAUGUAAAUGUGUCUCUACAUAAAAAAAAAAGAAGCUUAUAUUCAUUUAUCUUUUACUUAUUGCAGAUGAUUGAGUAUGUGUAGUGUUUGUGUCAAGGACAUGGAUGAUACUAAAAUACAGCAGUGAUGAUUGUGAACUGGCCAUUUGCUUUUGUUAAAGGAAAGGAGACUAUUUACACUUUUGAGAAGUUGCCCUGAUUGUCCUCGCCAGGCUCCUUUCAUCCACCCUUCAUUUGUAGGACAGAUGCAUGGAUGACCUUUGUUGAGGAAUGAACACAACUUUAACCAGAGUCAGGUUUAUCUGUGUCUUUUGAUAUACAUAAACAUGUAUACAGCAAGGCAUUACUGACAUUUAUCUACCAUAAAAUAACAUUUCUGUGUCCUUGAGGGUUCAGGUUCCUUUAGCUGCUUUCUUUAAAAACAAAAUGGGGAUGGUUUGUAUGACAUAAAAACCUUCCAAAUCA